UACGGAGGGGGCUAGCGUUGUUCGGAAUUACUGGGCGUAAAGCGCGCGUAGGCGGACCUGCAAGUCGGGGGUGAAAGCCCGAGGCUCAACCUCGGAACUGCCUUCGAUACUGCGGGUCUCGAGUCCGGGAGAGGGUGAGUGGAAUUCCUAGUGUAGAGGUGAAAUUCGUAGAUAUUAGGAAGAACACCAGUGGCGAAGGCGGCUCACUGGCCCGGUACUGACGCUGAGGCGCGAAAGCG
rnacentral:rRNA from 1 species